rnacentral:rRNA from 1 species
ACGAACGCUGGCGGCGUGCUUAACACAUGCAAGUCGAGCGGUAAGGCCCUUUCGGGGGUACACGAGCGGCGAACGGGUGAGUAACACGUGGGUGACCUGCCCUCAGCUCUGGGAUAAGCCCGGGAAACUGGGUCUAAUACCGGAUAUGACUCCAUGACGCAUGUUGUGGGGUGGAAAGCCUUGUGCGGCUGAGGAUGGGCCCGCGGCCUAUCAGCUUGUUGGUGGGGUGAUGGCCUACCAAGGCGACGACGGGUAGCCGGCCUGAGAGGGCGACCGGCCACACUGGGACUGAGACACGGCCCAGACUCCUACGGGAGGCAGCAGUGGGGAAUCUUGCGCAAUGGGCGAAAGCCUGACGCAGCGACGCCGCGUGAGGGAUGACGGCCU